CCUACGGGAGGCAGCAGUGGGGAAUAUUGGGCAACGGAGGAAACUCUGACCCAGCACCGCCGCGUGAAUGUUGAAGGUCUUCGGAUGGAAAAGUUCUUUUCUAAGGGAAGAAGAAAGUGACGGUACCUAAGGAAUACGCCUCGGCUAACUACGUGCCAGCAGCCGGGGUAAUACGUAGGAGGCAGGCGUUAUCCGGAAGGACUGGGCGUAAAGGGUGCGUAGGCGGUCGGAUAAGUUAGAGGUGAAAUCCCGAGGCUCAACUUCGGAAUUGCCUCUGAUAAUGUUCGGCUAGAGAGUAGUUGCGGUAGGCGGAAUGUAUGGUGUAGCGGUGAAAUGCUUAGAGAUCAUACAGAACACCGAUUGCGAAGGCAGCUUACCAAGCUACUUCUGACGUUGAGGCACGAAAGCGUGGGGAGCAAACAGGAUUAGAUACCCCAGUAGUC
rnacentral:rRNA from 1 species